rnacentral:rRNA from 1 species
UACGAAGGGGGCUAGCGUUGUUCGGAAUUACUGGGCGUAAAGCGCACGUAGGCGGAUAUUUAAGUCAGGGUGAAAUCCCAGAGCUCAACUCUGGAACUGCCUUUGAUACUGGGUAUCUUGAGUAUGGAAGAGGUAAGUGGAAUUGCGAGUGUAGAGGUGAAAUUCGUAGAUAUUCGCAGGAACACCAGUGGCGAAGGCGGCUUACUGGUCCAUAACUGACGCUGAGG